rnacentral:lncRNA from 1 species
UGCCAAAACUGAGUAAUUGUGGGGACUUCUUGAACCUAAGCUUUGUCAAUGGCAAAAUGGGAAUAAUGAUUCAUAAAGACCACCACUCUGUAUUUUCUCCUUUCUUUUUUUUUUUUUUUUUUUUUUUUUUGAGACGGAGUUUCGCUCGCUCUUGUUACCCAGGCUGGAGUGCAAUGGCGCGAUCUCGGCUCACCGCAACCUCCGCCUCCUGGGUUCAGGCAAUUCUCCACUGGUCCCUGGGGCGGUUUCUACUCCAGUAUGUCAUGGUACACUCUAUCUGCCUGUCUGUUUACCCGGUUUCGGAAACAGCAGUUUUCCAUGUUGACAGGUCUAAUUAUUGAUUUUUCACUUUGUCCAGCUUUCCUUACUGUAGAACCAGAAAUUAAAAUGGCACUAAAUUUUUAGCAAGUAACAGAAACACUGCUUAUUUGCUCCUAUUUUGACCAUGAAUCAUCUGAAGAUUGCGUUAUGGACUGAAUGUCUGUGUUCCCCUAAAAUUCAUAUAUUAAAGCCCUACCCCCCAGUGUGAUGGUAUUUGGAGAGGGAACCUUUGAGACAUAGUUAGGUCUCAAGAGUAAGGCUUGGUCUUAUUAAAUUGGUCCUCUUAAAAGAAGAGACACCAGAGAACUUGCACUCUCCUUCUGCCUGUCUUUCUCUCUCUCUUCUCUCUCUCUCACUGCCAUGUGAGGACACAGAGAAAAGGCAGCUGUCUGCAAGUCAGGAGGAGAGCGUUCACCAGAACUCAACUAUGCCGGCACCCUGAUCUUGGACUUCCAUCCUCCGGAACUGGGAGAAAAUGCAUUUCUUUUGUUUAAGCAUCCAGUCUGCGGCAUUUUUCAUAGAAGCCUGAGGAAACUAAGACUGCUUUUAUCAAGGAAUGCUGCUUACAAGACUUUUGCAUAAGGAAGAGCCUAAUUAUUCAACAACCAUUUGUUGAGCAUGUGGAUACCAAGCACUGUGCUAAGCACUGGAGAUACAGUGGCGAACAAGGCAGCAUUUUGCCUUCAUGGAUAUUUCAGUAUCAAAGGAGAG